AACGAACGCUGGCGGCAUGCCUAACACAUGCAAGUCGAACGAGACCUUCGGGUCUUGUGGCGCACGGGUGCGUAACGCGUGGGAACCUGCCCUUAGGUUCGGAAUACCUCCCCGAAAGGGGUGCUAAUACCGGAUAAUGUCUUCGGACCAAAGAUUUAUCGCCUUUGGAUGGGCCCGCGUUGGAUUAGCUAGUUGGUAGGGUAAAAGCCUACCAAGGCGACGAUCCAUAGCUGGUCUGAGAGGAUGAUCAGCCACACUGGGACUGAGACACGGCCCAGACUCCUACGGGAGGCAGGAGUGGGGAAUAUUGGACAAUGGGCGAAAGCAUGAUCCAGCAAUGCCGCGUGAGUGAUGAAGGCCUUAGAGUUGUAAAGCUCUUUUACCCGGGAUGAUAAUGACGGUACCGGGAGAAUAAGCUCCGGCUAACUCCGUG
rnacentral:rRNA from 1 species